rnacentral:rRNA from 1 species
UAGGGAAUAUUGGUAAUCUGGGAAACCGGGAACCAGCAACGCCGCGUGCGCGAUGGAGGCCUUCGGGUUGUAAAGCGCUUUUUAAAGGGAUGAGGAAGGACAGUACCUUUAGAAUAAGCCUCGGCUAACUACGUGCCAGCAGCCGCGGUAAAACGUAGGAGGCGAGCGUUAUCCGGAUUUACUGGGCGUAAAGCGUGUGCAGGCGGUUUGAUAAGUUGGAUGUGAAAGCUCCUGGCUUAACCGGGGAGGUCGUUCAAAACUAUCAGACUAGAGAGUGGUAGAGGGAGAUGGAAUUCCGCGUGUAGUGGUGAAAUGCGUAGAUAUGCGGAGGAACACCAGUGGCGAAAGCAGUCUCCUGGCCCAUUUCUGACGCUCAGACACGAAAGCUAAGGUAGCAAACGG